rnacentral:tRNA from 1 species
UAGCAUUGGCAUAGUGGAUAUGGUGUCCGCUUAGCAACUGGGAGCCCAUGGGUUCAUUCCCCAUGGUGUUAG